GCUCAAAUUUGAAAUCUUAAAGGGUUUCCCUUUACGAAUUGUAGUUUAAAGAAGUGUUUUCUGUUGAGGUUUUGGUAAAAGUUCUUUGGAAUAGGACAUCAUAGAGGGUGAGAAUCCCGUAUUUGACCUUUACUUUCAACUUUGUGAUACACUUUCAAAGAGUCGGAUUGUUUGGGAAUGCAGUCCAAAAUGGGUGGUAAAUUUCAUCUAAAGCUAAAUAUUGGCGAGAGACCGAUAGCGAACAAGUACCGUGAGGGAAAGAUGAAGAGAACUUUGAAAAGAGAGUUAAACAGUACGUGAAAUUGUCAAAAGGGAAGCGUUUGACACCAGUGUUGUUUUUCUGAAAAUCAAUUAAAGAACUGUUUAUGCUAAGUUGUUUAGACUUUAUCAGCUAACUGUUUAGUUUUGAGCUUUUCUUUAAUGCACUUUUCAGUUAACAAG
rnacentral:rRNA from 1 species